UACGGGGGGGGCAAGCGUUGUUCGGAAUUACUGGGCGUAAAGGCUCGUAGGCGGCCAACUAAGUCGGACGUGAAAUCCCUCGGCUUAACCGAGGAACUGCGUCCGAUACUGGAUGGCUUGAGUUUGGGAGAGGGAUGCGGAAUUCCAGGUGUAGCGGUGAAAUGCGUAGAUAUCUGGAGGAACACCGGUGGCGAAGGCGGCAUCCUGGACCAACACUGACGCUGAGUGAGCGAAAGCCAGGGGAGCAAACGGG
rnacentral:rRNA from 1 species